rnacentral:rRNA from 1 species
UCCUACGGGAGGCAGCAGUAGGGAAUCUUCCGCAAUGGACGAAAGUCUGACGGAGCGACGCCGCGUGAGCGAAGAAGGUCUUCGGAUCGUAAAGCUCUGUUGUUAGGGAAGAAGAAGUACCGUUCGAAUAGGGCGGUACGGUGACGGUACCUAACGAGAAAGCCCCGGCUAACUACGUGCCAGCAGCCGCGGUAAUACAA